rnacentral:rRNA from 1 species
AUCAACGCUGGCGGGCCGUGCCUAAACACAUGCCAAGUCGAACGCCGGAAAAGGAGCCCCUCAAGGGGUUAGUAGAGUGGCAAAACGGGUGAGUAACACGGUGGGUGGACCCUGCCUUUCGAGCGGGGGGAUAAACGUCCCGAAAGGGACCGCUAAUACCGCAUAAACAUCCUGCCUUUUGAAGAAGGUGGAGAUCAAAGGCCUGGGACCGCAAGGCCAGGCACUUGAAGAGGGGCCCGCGUCCUGAUUAGCUAGUUGGUGAGGUAACUGGCUCACCAAGGCUACGAUCAGGUAUCCGGCCCUGAGAGGGCGGACGGACACACUGGGGACUGAGACACGGCCCCAGACUCCUACGGGAGGGCAGCAGUGGGGAAUUGUUUCGCAAUGGGCGGCAAGCCUGACGACGCAAACGCCGCGUGGAGGAUGAAGAUCUUCGGGUCGUAAACUCCUUUCGAUCGAGACGAAUAACUUCCUCUGGGUGAACAAUCCGGAGGAAAUGACGGUACCGAGAGAAGAAGCCCCGGCUAACUCCGUGCCAGCAGCCGCGGGUAAUACGGGGGGGGCAAGCGUUGUUUCGGAAUUACUGGGCGGUAAAGGGCUAGUAAGGUGGGCCAAUCUAAGUCAGACGUGAAAAUCCCUCGGCUUAAACCGGGGAACUGCGGUUCUGAUACUGGAUGGCUUGAGUUUGGGGAGAGGGACGCGGGAAUUCCAGGUGUAGCGGUUGAAAUGCGUAGAUAUCUGGAGGAACACCGGUGGCGAAGGCGGCGUCCCUGGACCAACACUGACAACUGAAUGAGCGAAAGCCAGGGGGAGGCAAACGGGAAUUAGAUACCCCGGUAGUCCUGGCCCUAAACGAUGAAUGCUUGGUGUGGCGGGGUAUCGAUCCCUGCCGUGCCGAAGCUAACGCAUUAAGCAUUCCGCCUGGGGGAGUACGGUCGCAAGGCCUGAAACUCAAAGGAAUUGACGGGGGGCCCGCACAAGCGGUGGAGCAUGUGGUUCAAUUCGACGCAAACGCGAAGAACCUUACCCAGGCUUGAACAGCGGAGUGGACCAGCUUACGAAAGGAGGCCUUCCGCAAGGACACUCGUAGAGGUGCUGCAUGGCUGUCGUUCAGCUCGUGUCGUGGAGAUGUUGGGUUAAGUCCCGCAACGAGCGCAACCCUUAGUUUUGCUGUUGCCAUCACGUUAUGGUGGGCACUCUGCAAAGACUGCCGGUGAUAAAAACCGGAGGAAGGUGGGGAUGACGUCCAAGUCAGCAUGGCCUUUAUGUCUGGGGCUACACACGUGCUACAAUGGGCCGGUACAAACCGUCGCGAUAACCGUAAGGUCGGAGCUAAUCGGAGAAAGCCGGUCUCAGUUCGGAUUGCUAGGCUGCAACUCGCCUUGCAGUGAAGUUGGAAUCGCUAGUAAUCGCGGAUCAGCACGCCCGCGGUGAAUACGUUCCCGGGCCUUGUACACACCGCCCGUCACAUCACGAAAGCCGGUUGUACUAGAAGUCGCCACACCUAACCCCGCAAGGGAGGAGAGGCGCCUAAGGUAUGGUUCGGUGAUUGGGGUG